rnacentral:tRNA from 1 species
AGUUUAAUAGUCAAAAUAUGAUUUUAAAUUGCAAAUUUAAAGGUAAGUAAAUUUUUAGACUU